UUGUGGCCUGGGAAGUGCCCCCAUCCUUAAUGAACCCAACCUAUUCUGUCACUCCCUGGACGUUGGAGAGGAGAGAGGAGGCAUGGCAGAGGCUUUGUCACCCCAAGAAAUACUGUCUCAUGUGGGCCCCUGGCACAUGCCUCUGUUUCUUCAGCCAAGGGCCCACACCCUGAACUUCAUGGGCGUGAUCAUUGUGUUCUCUGAGAGGCAAGUGAGAACACAGAACCUCACAGAACUCAAGGCUUCUGGCCUCCUCCCGACCCUGCUACGCCUCCUGCCAAGCUUGGAUUUUAUCACCAGCGCUCCUGGCACUGUCUUUGGGACCCCAUAGGUCAGAGAACAGGGCUGUGGCUGCAGGGGCUCUGUGCUCAUAUGCAGCCAGCCCCCCAGCACGGUGGAUUCCAGUUCACCAAUCCAGAGCUGAAGUCCCAGAGAGAGACCCCAGAGCUUUUCCAAACUGGAGAUGUGGAGCUCAAAUCAAAAUAGUGGUCCCGCCAGAGCGGGGUCUGGCCACUCUGGUCAGAUGUGUUUCCGAGAAGCUGCAUCUUCAGUUGUUUUUAUGGACCGUUGGAGUUUUGAGUGAAUGUUUAGACUGCAGCUCACAAACACUUCCCUCUUUGGGAGGAAAGGAAACUAACUGGCUUUCAUUUGGCAGUUUUUGCCUCUGUCAGCGUUCCCAGUGGCAGGAACCACAAGCUUUGCCUGGGAAGGGCUGGGGCCACAGCUGGCUUUUAUUAUUGAAUAUUUCUGGUGGAGCUGUUGGCCCCCACUCUGUUUAUGUUGCUUGUAAGAUUUCACGCAAGACUCUGCGAGGACCUGGGCUUGAGCCCGAGCGUCUGAUCUUCAGGGUAAUUCGCUCCAUGCCUUCAUUCCUCAGCCUUUUCCUUCUGAUAUUUUGCCAAGUGCAUGUUGAGUGCUGCCAGGAAACAAAGCGAGGGCAGGGGCGGGUGCAGACUCUGGGGUCCCUGCAGCUUCGGCUUGUCCUCCAUUGUCCAGGGUAGAUGACUCCAUCUUGCUCAGGUGGUCGGGGUGUAUGUACUGCGUGGGAAUCAAGAUUCACUGGACUCAGUACAGGUUAAAGUGAAGUUUAUUUGGGGAGGAGGCACUUACACAAGAGGCGGGUGACCACUGCAAGUUCCAGCUCCAAGGAUCCUCCCAGGCUGCCCUCUGUGACCUGACUGGAAGCAAGAAAGAGUGCCAGGGUCGGGGACCCCGGACCUAGUCCUACCCUCUGUCAUGUCCAAACCUGUGACCAUGCCCAAACGGGCGUGGUCAGUGCUACAGGAGGUGCAAUGUGACCAGCGUCCCCUGCUCCCGCCAUGACUUCUCCACCACUGCAGACACCCCUACUUCUGCCACGACUUCCCCACCAUGAUGUAGACCACAAAUUUCUUCUCCCCUUAAAUUGCUUUUGCCGGUGUUUUGUAGAAGCAACAUGACAAGCACAGGACAGUUUUCAUUUGGUUAUUUAAGCUAUACUUCCUUAACUAGUAGGACCUGGAGCUUGUGGAGCCUAGAAGUUACUUGGGCUCUACUGAGAAACUGAAGGAUUAAAAAGGGACAGAAAGCAAAGAGGAGCCCAUGGUAACAUCGUGUUCCUUAAGCUCCCCCUUCUCACUUGGGAAUAAUCCAAAGGGAUUAAAGAGAUUGCUUUCAACGGGAUUUGUAGGAGGCACUAAAGUCAAAAGCUUGUUAUUCAAAGACCUUGAAGAUGUCAGUGAGGGUAACUGGCAGGGUCUCGGAACUGACUCCAAAACUGGGACGAGAGGUGCACACUGCACGUAAAAGGUUGAGGCUGGUAGGAAGGACGCUGGAUGAAUUAUUCCUGAGAAGCUUAUUUAGAGAAUUACGGCCUGAAGGCGGAGAGUGAGCGUCUGGGUUCCAGGAAGGGCUUCACCAGGAGAGAUAGCUGCUAGGGACGGCAUGAUGAGUGUCUGAAAGGAAAAACACCCUCAGUUCCUGAACUUUAUGAGAGUUCUAGCACUGUCCACAUGACAGGUCAUCUUACAUUCAUGGUUUUGUGUGUGCUGCCUGCAUGUGUGUAUUUGUGUACCACAUUUGCACUUAAUGUAUGUUUCUCUUAUUGAUUUAUGAAUUAAACACAGUUUGGACAAGAGAGGCAGGAAGAUAGGUGGCACAGGAGAUGAGGGAAAGGUAGACAGAGAGGGACCUCAGGAGGACACCAUACAGUUGGCAAAGGAGAGACAGGUUCAGGCAUUCUCCAGUAAGCCAAGACCACAGGGAAAUACUUAGAUUAAUAGAAAUGGGUUAGUAAUUAAGAGAGAGCAAGCCAGUAAGAAGCCCUAGCCUUCAGCCAGCAGUUUUAUAAUUAAUAUAGCAUCCGUGUAUUUAUUUGGGGCUUAAGGGCGGUGGGACCUGGACAAGAAAACCCAGCAACAAGGAUCGUUUAUGGAAGAAUGGGUGACACAAAGGCAGUUGCACCUGGGAAAAGCACAGGGGACAGCUCAGGAAAAUGGCAGCCCUGGAGCUCCCUGCCUGGCCUGCAGGCUGCUGGCUGCCCUGAGGUCUCCUCUCCCUGAAAAUUGAUACCGCUCAUAUAAACUCGGAGAGUGUGAGAAUCCAAGGAGGCUUUGAGUGAACGUGUAAGGAGCAGAUGAAGUCCUGAGUAUUGUUAACCUGGGCACAGCCAUGCCAAGGACCAAUGCUCACACCUAUGGGGAUGGCAAGCAAAGCCUUUCCUCUGCUCUGAGUGUGAGUGUUGGCUGUGUGUGCAAAAACUGGCAACUGCAGUUUCCCCUUCCUGGGUGCUCAAGCUGGAAACUACUUCCUGUGGGCACCCCCCACCCUAGGCUGGUCAAUUCCUCCUCCUGUACCGUACACGAUAAAGGUUCCAGGCUGUUGCUGUAGUUGGUGUGGCUUCAUCAGAGAGAACACAACCCUCCUGAUUCCAGCUUUUCUGUGUGACUGUCCUUUCUUCAUUCCUUGUC